rnacentral:hammerhead_ribozyme from 1 species
AUCCAUCUGACGAGUCCCAAAUAGGGCGAAAUGCUCAUUCUCGAU